rnacentral:rRNA from 1 species
GGCUUAAUUUGACUCAACACGGGAAACCUCACCAGGCCCGGACACCGGAAGGAUUGACAGAUUGAUAGCUCUUUCUUGAUUCGGUGGGUGGUGGUGCAUGGCCGUUCUUAGUUGGUGGAGCGAUUUGUCUGGUUAAUUCCGAUAACGAACGAGACUCUAGCCUGCUAACUAGGCGUCUCCGGUAUCCACAAUAGUGCUACCGGCGAAUAAAAUUCUUCUUAGAGGGACAGGCGGCUUCUAGCCGCACGAGACUGAGCAAUAACAGGUCUGUGAUGCCCUUAGAUGUCCUGGGCCGCACGCGCGCUACACUGAAGGAAUCAGCGUGUCUUCCCUGGCCGAAAGGUCCGGGUAACCCGUUGAACCUCCUUCGUGCUAGGGAUUGGGGCUUGCAAUUGUUCCCCAUGAACGAGGAAUUCCCAGUAAGCGCGAGUCAUAAGCUCGCGUUGAUUACGUCCCUGCCCUUUGUACACACCGCCCGUCGCUACUACCGAUUGAAUGAUUUAGUGAGGUCUUCGGACUGGUGCGCGGCGAUCGCCUUGUGCGGCCGCCGAUGUUGCCGGAAAGAUGACCAAACUUGAUCAUUUAGAGGAAGUAAAA